AGCGUGGCAAGGGCAAGCGGCUGCACAUGGAUCCUGCGAUGCUAGUCAAGGAGCUGGACCAGAUGCUUACUGCUCCCGGUGUUCUGCCCCUCGUGCAACCGUUGGCACACAGACGGACACUACAGGAAUUGGCACCGUAGAUUGUGUGACACCAGUGUCGUCAUCGGUCGACCAAGGGUGCAACGCCGCUGUGCUCGCACCACAACCAAAUGCAGGGUCCCCAGGAGCGCCCAGACCAGUCGAACCUGCCACAGCUACCAAGGCUCGGGUGCUGUUGCCAGUCCCCGGCACGACAGGCGCUACAGGAACGGCCACUGUUGACCCUCUGACACCAGUGUCGUCAUCGGUCGACCAAGGGUGCAACGCCGCUGUGCUCGCACCACAACCAAAUGCAGGGUCCCCAGGAGCGCCCAGACCAGUCGAACCUGCCACAGCUACCAAGGCUCGGGUGCUGUUGCCAGUCCCCGGCACGACAGGCGCUACAGGAACGGCCACUGUUGACCCUCUGACACCAGUGUCGUCAUCGGUCGACCAAGGGUGCAACGCCGCUGUGCUCGCACCACAACCAAAUGCAGGGUCCCCAGGAGCGCCCAGACCAGUCGAACCUGCCACAGCUACCAAGGCUCGGGUG
rnacentral:lncRNA from 1 species